CUGUCUGGGCUCAGGUGGACGGACUUCAAAUCCGCGGGCAGCAGACAAGGCCCCGUGAAGGU
rnacentral:tRNA from 16 species